rnacentral:lncRNA from 1 species
AUGGUAUGUUUGCCGGUUGACCCAUUCUACGUCCCGGCCAGAAUAAGAGAAAGACCAGGUUGACCCAUUCUACGUCCCUGGCAUAUUGGAAUGUUAUGUUAUGUAUGUUAUGUAAGAGAAAGACCGGUUGACCCAUUCUACGUCCCGGCACUUUGGAUUGUAGAGGACUAGAGGUGACAAUUCCAUCCUUAUGUGAUUUGUUUGUGAUGUGUUGCAUUUCAUGUGAGCAUGAAACUUUAAUAUAAUGUUUUUCUCUAUUCUGCUCACUGGGCU